rnacentral:tRNA from 1 species
GCCCGCGGUAGCUCAGAUGGAUAGAGCGUCUGCCAUGUAAGCAGAAGAUCCCGGGUUCGAGUCCCGGUCGGGGCA